rnacentral:rRNA from 1 species
CCUUCCAGACUCCUACGGGAGGCAGCAGUAGGGAAUCUUCGGCAAUGGACGAAAGUCUGACCGAGCAACGCCGCGUGAGUGAAGAAGGUUUUCGGAUCGUAAGACUCUGUUGGUAGAGAAGAACGUUGGUGAGAGUGGAAAGCUCAUCAAGUGACGGUAACUACCCAGAAAGGGACGGCUAACUACGUGCCAGCAGCCGCGGUAAUACGUAGGUCCCGAGCGUUGUCCGGAUUUAUUGGGCGUAAAGCGAGCGCAGGUGGUUUAUUAAGUCUGGUGUAAAAGGCAGUGGCUCAACCAUUGUAUGCAUUGGAAACUGGUAGACUUGAGUGCAGGAGAGGAGAGUGGAAUUCCAUGUGUAGCGGUGAAGUGCGUAGAUAUAUGGAGGAACACCGGUGGCGAAAGCGGCUCUCUGGCCUGUAACUGACACUGAGGCUCGAAAGCGUGGGGAGCAAACAGGAUUAGAUACCCUGGUGGUCCACGCCGUAAACGAUGAGUGCUAGAUGUAGGGAGCUAUAAGUUCUCUGUAUCGCAGCUAACGCAAUAAGCACUCCGCCUGGGGAGUACGACCGCAAGGUUGAAACUCAAAGGAAUUGACGGGGGCCCGCACAAG